GACCCAGUGGCGGAUGGUUCGUGCCCGCGCUAUAUGUAAGACAUGAACAAUUCUGGAAGCGGGAACUCCUGGUUCAAAUCCGGGCUGGGUCA